ACGGGAGGCAGCAGUGAGGACUAUUGGUCAAUGGGCGAGAGCCUGAACCAGCCAAGUAGCGUGAGGGAUGACUGCCCUAUGGGUUGUAAACCUCUUUUGUUCGGGAAUAAAGUGCGGGACGUGUCCCGCUUUGCAUGUACCGUUCGAAUAAGCAUCGGCUAAUUCCGUGCCAGCAGCCGCGGUAAUACGGAAGAUGCGAGCGUUAUCCGGAUUUAUUGGGUUUAAAGGGAGCGUAGGCGGUCCUUUAAGUCAGGGGUCAAAUGUCAGCGCCCAACGCUGCCCUGCCGUUGAUACUGGAUGACUUGAAUACACACAAGGAAGGUGGAAUUCGUCGUGUAGCGGUGAAAUGCUUAGAUAUGACGAAGAACUCCGAUUGCGAAGGCAGCCUUCUGGAGUGCGAUUGACGCUGAGGCUCGAAGGCGCGGGUGUCAAACAGGAUUAGAUACCCUGGUA
rnacentral:rRNA from 1 species